GACGAACGCUGGCGGCGUGCCUAAUACAUGCAAGUAGGACGCAGUUUCUAACGGGUGAGUCACGCGUAGGUAACUACCUAUUAGAGGGGGAUAACUAUUGGAAACGAUAGCUAUUACCGCAUACUAGUUUAUGGACCUGCGUUGUAUUAGCUAGUAGGUAGGGUAAUGGCCUACCUAGGCAACGAUACAUAGCCGACCUGGGGGGGUGGUCGGCCACACUGGGACUGAGACACGGCCCAGACUCCUACGGGAGGCAGCAGUAGGGAAUCUUCGGCAAUGGGGGGAACCCUGACCGAGCAACGCCGAGUGAGUGAAGAAGGUUUUCGGAUCGUAAAGCUCUGUUGUUAAGGAAGCGGUACUUAACGAGAAAGGGACGGCUAACUACGUGCCAGCAGCCGCGGUAAUUC
rnacentral:rRNA from 1 species